CCUCAGCAGCUUAAUUAAGGGCUCGAGAAGUUAAUUAAGGCAGGCGUAAGUUAAUUAAAGGCAGCGCUAAUGAGCUAAGGAGCUCCGGGCACCAAUUAACGGCGCUGGAAGUUCAUUAGGGGGGGGUCUGAAAGUUAAUUAGGGGCUCCGAAUGUUAAUUAGGGGCUUUGAGGAGUUAAUUAGGGCGGUCCAGAAGUUAAUUAGGGGGUCCCGAAGUUAAUUAAUGGCACUCUAGGGUUAAUUAAUGGGGUGGGGUGGGGGGGCAGAUGUUAAUUAGGGCGGCUCUGGGUGUUAAUUAGGGGCUCCAGAAGUUAAUUAGCGGGCUCCAGAAGCUAAUUAAGGGCUCCAGAAGUUCAUUAGUGGGCUCCAGAAGUUAAUUAACGGGCUCCAGAAGUUAAUUAGCGGGGCCUGAAUGUUAAUUAGGGCUCAUUAAGGUGGUCUGAAAGUUAAUUGGGGAGGUCCGGAAGUUCAUUAGCGGGCUCCAGAAGUUAAUUAAGGGCUCCAGAAGUUCAUUAGCGGGCUACGAAAGUUAAUUAGCGGGCUCCAGAAGUUAAUUAAGGACUCCAGAAGUUAAUUAGCGGGGCCUGAAUGCUAAUUAGGGCUCUGAAGGGCUCAUUAAGGUGGUCUGAAAGUUAAUUAGGGAGGUCCGGAAGUUAAUUAGCGGGCUCCAGAAGUUAAUUAAGGGCUCCAGAACUUAAUUAGCGGGCCCCAGAAGUUAAUUAACGGGCUCCAAAAGUUCAUUAAGGGCUCCAGAAGCUAAUUAAGGGCUCCAGAACUUAAUUAGUGGGCUCCAGAAGUUAAUUAACGGGCUCCAAAAGUUAAUUAAGGGCUCCAGCAGUUAAUUAACGGGCUCCAAAAGUUAAUUAACGGGCUCUAGAAGUUAAUUAACGGGCUCCAGCAGUUAAUUAAGGGCUCCAGCAGUUAAUUAGCGGGCUCUAGAAGUUAAUUAACGGGCCCCAAAAGUUAAUUAGCGGGCUCCAGAAGUUCAUUAGCGGGCUCCAAAAGUUAAUUAGCGGGCUCCAGAAGUUAAUUAAGCGCUAAUGAGAGGGGUGGGGAGGUGGUCCAGGCGUUAAUUAAGGGGGGGG
rnacentral:lncRNA from 1 species